AGAGUUUGAUCCUGGCUCAGAACGAACGCUGGCGGCGUGCCUAACACAUGCAAGUCGUACGAGAAAAUCCGCUUCGGCGGGUGAGUAGAGUGGCGCACGGGUGAGUAACGCGUGGAUAAUCUGCCUUUAAGCUGGGAAUAACUCACCGAAAGGUGGGCUAAUACCCGAUAAUGCUAUGGGACUUCGGUUUUAUAGCCAAAGAGAGCCUCUACAUGUAAGCCUUCACUUAAAGAUGAGUCCGCGUACCAUUAGCUAGUUGGUAGGGUAAUGGCCUACCAAGGCGACGAUGGUUAGCUGGUCUGAGAGGAUGAUCAGCCACACUGGAACUGAGACACGGUCCAGACUCCUACGGGAGGCAGCAGUGAGGAAUAUUGCGCAAUGGGGGCAACCCUGACGCAGCAACGCCGCGUGAGUGAGGAAGGUCUUCGGAUCGUAAAGCUCUGUCGGGUGGGAAGAAGUGUGCAUAGGUUAAUAGCUUGUGCACUUGACGGUACCGCCAAAGGAAGCACCGGCUAACUCCGUGCCAGCAGCCGCGGUAAUACGGGGGGUGCGAGCGUUGUUCGGAAUCAUUGGGCGUAAAGAGCGUGUAGGCGGCUAGGCAAGUCAGAUGUGAAAUCCCUGGGCUUAACCCAGGAAGUGCAUUUGAAACUGCUUAGCUUGAGUAAGGAAGAGGGAAGUGGAAUUCCUGGUGUAGAGGUGAAAUUCGUAGAUAUCAGGAGGAACACCGGUGGCGAAGGCGACUUCCUGGUCCUAUACUGACGCUGAGACGCGAGAGCGUGGGGAGCAAACAGGAUUAGAUACCCUGGUAGUCCACGCCGUAAAC
rnacentral:rRNA from 1 species